GAUGAAGGAACGUAGCAAAAUGCGAUAAGUAAUGUGAAUUGCAGAAUUCAGUGAAUCAUCGAAUCUUUGAACGCACAUUGCGCCCGCUGGUAUUCCGGCGGGCAUGCCUGUUCGAGCGUCAUUUCAACCCUCAAGCCCCCGGGUUUGGUGUUGGGGAUCGGCUCUGCCCUUCUGGGCGGUGCCGCCCCCGAAAUACAUUGGCGGUCUCGCUGCAGCCUCCAUUGCGUAGUAGCUAACACCUCGCAACUGGAACGCGGCGCGGCCAUGCCGUAAAACCCCAACUUCUGAAUGUUGACCUCGGAUCAGGUAGGAAUACCCGCUGAACUUAAGCAUAUCAAUAAGCGGAGGA
rnacentral:misc_RNA from 1 species